rnacentral:rRNA from 1 species
AGCAGCCGCGGUAAUUCCAGCUCCAAUAGCGUAUAUUAAAGUUGUUGCAGUUAAAACGCUCGUAGUUGAAUUUCGAGAUCAAAUUGUUGGUCGUGCCUCGGUACGUACUGGCAUUAUUGAUUUCUCCUUUCUGAAGAACCUUGAUGUCAUUAAUUUGGUGUCUUGGGGAAUCAGGACCGUUACUUUGAAAAAAUUAGAGUGUUUAAAGCAGGCUCACGCUUGAAUACAUUAGCAUGGAAUAAUGAAAUAGGACGUUUGAUUCUAUUUUGUUGGUUUCUAGGAUCGACGUAAUGAUUAAUAGGGAUAGUUGGGGGCAUUAGUAUUCAAUUGUCAGAGGUGAAAUUCUUGGAUUUAUUGAAGACUAACUACUGCGAAAGCAUUUGCCAAGGAUGUUUUCAUUAAUCAAGAACGAAAGUUAGGGGAUCGAAGACGAUCAGAUACCGUCGUAGUCUUAACCAUAAACUAUGCCGACUAGGGAUCGGAUGAUGUUAAUUUUUAAUGUACUCAUUCGGCGCC